rnacentral:lncRNA from 7 species
GGAAGCUCUCAGCUCCCAGCAGCUGCCUGGGUGGGGAGGCCAGGCCCAAAGCCUUAGGUACCUGCCCCUCUGUGCUUUGCCCGUGGAUAUGGAAUAAUUCAGUAGAACUAGAGCCAGCAAAAGCCCCUUCAGCUUCUCCAGCCACUAAAAAAACAGCAGCACCAGAGCAACACAAGAAAGAAAAAAUUGUGGAAACUGCCAAAACAACAAAGAAAGAUGUAAAAGCACAUGCAUCUGUGGAAACUCUGAAGUCAAAAACAGUACAUGAAAAGAAGGAAGAAAAAGCAACAAAGGCAGCAGAGCAAGGUAAAAAGAAAACAAAGCAUGUUGGCAUUAUCUCUCUUUAAAAGGCAGCUGCACAGAAACAAAAACCUCAGAUUCAGACAACUGGAUGACAGCAACCUUUAAAUCUGUUGCUCUGAAAUGCUUAAAAGGCUUUCGAUAGCAGAACUUACAGAUGUUUGUAGCAAGAACCUUGGAGUGGGGUAUAAUUUGUAUGGAUGAGGUAUGAACUCUAGGGUCUGGGAGUAAGAACAACUGAAGAUGGGAUACAAGAACCAUAAGUGUUGAUGGAAUGUUUUUCAGCUGGUUACCAUCUAUGUACAGUUUCCCAAGUUACCCAGCACAGAAAAAACAGGGAAUGGUCAGCACUAAGGCUAAAGCAAAUCUCCAUCCACCACCACCAAGAUGGUAGUGAAAAUAUAAAGAAAAAGGUUGGAAUCUUAAAACAUCUAGAUGAAGAAACAGAGGACAGUGAUAAAAUAAUGCAGAGGUCAAAUAGCUUAGAAAGGGAAAAGAUCAUAGUCAAUGUCAGCUCCUGAAGUGCAGAAGAAGGCACAGAGGACAUCAACAUGAAGCUGCCAAACUUCAAAAAACACAUGAGAUAUGGUGGGUGCUUGGAAGCUGGCAGUGCUUGUCCUCUGUGUUACUGCAAUGGCUCCCAGCCCAAUUGCGUAGAUACAGACAUCUCAUUGCUUAAAUGCUGGACUGACUACUUGGACCCAGACUUCUUGGCACUGAGUAUGUUUAUAUGGGAGUGAGCAUGUGGGUGAGGGCAUUAUUCCUUACAUCUCCUAUCAGGACUCCCAUUUCUCCAUUACAUACAAUUGUAUUUAUUAUUAUUGUACAUUUUCAGUAUUAUAUCCCAUAUACUUGCUUCUAGUGUGCUUUUUUUAAAAAAAAAAUCUCUGUAUUUUAUGGCAAAGAGCAGAGCAGUAAAACAUUAAUGAAAG